rnacentral:rRNA from 2 species
GCAACGCCGCGUGAGUGAUGAAGGUUUUCGGAUCGUAAAGCUCUGUUGUUAGGGAAGAACAAGUGCCGUUCAAAUAGGGCGGCACCUUGACGGUACCUAACCAGAAAGCCACGGCUAACUACGUGCCAGCAGCCGCGGUAAUACGUAGGUGGCAAGCGUUGUCCGGAAUUAUUGGGCGUAAAGGGCUCGCAGGCGGUUUCUUAAGUCUGAUGUGAAAGCCCCCGGCUCAACCGGGGAGGGUCAUUGGAAACUGGGGAACUUGAGUGCAGAAGAGGAGAGUGGAAUUCCACGUGUAGCGGUGAAAUGCGUAGAGAUGUGGAGGAACACCAGUGGCGAAGGCGACUCUCUGGUCUGUAACUGACGCUGAGGAGCGAAAGCGUGGGGAGCGAACAGGAUUAGAUACCCUGGUAGUCCACGCCGUAAACGAUGAGUGCUAAGUGUUAGGGGGUUUCCGCCCCUUAGUGCUGCAGCUAACGCAUUAAGCACUCCGCCUGGGGAGUACGGUCGCAAGACUGAAACUCAAAGGAAUUGACGGGGGCCCGCACAAGCGGUGGAGCAUGUGGUUUAAUUCGAAGCAACGCGAAGAACCUUACCAGGUCUUGACAUCCUCUGACAAUCCUAGAGAUAGGACG